AGUGAACGCUGGCGGUAGGCCUAACACAUGCAAGUCGAACGGCAGCACAGUAAGAGCUUGCUCUUACGGGUGGCGAGUGGCGGACGGGUGAGGAAUACAUCGGAAUCUACUUUUUCGUGGGGGAUAACGUAGGGAAACUUACGCUAAUACCGCAUACGACCUACGGGUGAAAGCAGGGGAUCUUCGGACCUUUCGCGAUUGAAUGAGCCGAUGUCGGAUUAGCUAGUUGGCGGGGUAAAGGCCCACCAAGGCGACGAUCCGUAGCUGGUCUGAGAGGAUGAUCAGCCACACUGGAACUGGGACACGGUCCAGACUCCUACGGGAGGCAGCAGUGGGGAAUAUUGGACAAUGGGCGCAAGCCUGAUCCAGCCAUACCGCGUGGGUGAAGAAGGCCUUCGGGUUGUAAAGCCCUUUUGUUGGGAAAGAAAAGCAGCAGGUUAAUACCCCGCUGUUCUGAAGGUACCCAAAGAAUAAGCACCGGCUAACUUCGUG
rnacentral:rRNA from 1 species